rnacentral:rRNA from 1 species
UACGAAGGGGGCUAGCGUUGUUCGGAAUCACUGGGCGUAAAGCGCACGCAGGCGGAUCGUUAAGUCGGGGGUGAAAGCCCGGGGCUCAACCUCGGAAUUGCCUUCGAUACUGUCGGUCUCGAGACCGGGAGAGGUGAGUGGACUUCCUAGUGUAGAGGUGAAAUUCGGAGAUAUUAGGAAGAACACCAGUGGCGAAGGCGGCUCACUGGCCCGGUACUGACGCUCAGGUGCGAAAGCGUGGGGAGCAUACAGG